rnacentral:rRNA from 1 species
UACGGAGGGAGCUAGCGUUGUUCGGAAUUACUUGGCGUAAAGCGCACGUAGGCGGCUUUUUAAGUCAGGGGUGAAAUCCCGGAGCUCAACUCCGGAACUGCCCUUGAAACUGGGAAGCUAGAAUCUUGGAGAGGCGAGUGGAAUUCCGAGUGUAGAGGUGAAAUUCGUAGAUAUUCGGAAGAACACCAGUGGCGAAGGCGACUCGCUGGACAAGUAUUGACGCUGAGGUGCGAAAGCGUGGGGAGCAAACAGG